AGUAGCUGUUACUGCCUUUUUGAACUGUCUACUCCUAGCAUUGCAGCAUAUCCAAGUUAGCUCAUUCUUCCAGCAAUCUGGUCGUCUACUCCAGCUAAUCCAACAGCAGAUUCUAGUCCAAAUCCUGCUGGUAAUUGAACAUUCAAAAUAUAGGUGUUCAAAGGCUUCAAAGCCUUGCUUACAGAACACACAUGUUUCUUC
rnacentral:lncRNA from 1 species